rnacentral:lncRNA from 1 species
GUUGUUUAAGACAUGUCCCAUCUAUCACAUGCAAAACACAAGCUAGAAGUCUCACUAAAAUUAUUGGACAAAUUGUAGAUGGUGGCCUGAUUGCCAAGUCAUUUUAUUGAAACCAUGUGUUUUAAAGCAAGUUUAAAUGAAACACGCAUGAUAAUCCCUUUUUAGGGAUGUGCAUAUUUAUUAUUGUUGUGGGAGAGCGAAGGGAACGAGGUGAUACGACUUUAUGCCAUCAACUUUUAUGCGACCA